rnacentral:rRNA from 1 species
UACGAAGGGUGCAAACGUUGCUCGGAAUUGUUGGGCGUAAAGCGCACGUAGGCGGCUUAGCAAGUCGGAUGUGAAAUCCCUCGGCUCAACCAAGGAAGUGCAUCCGAAACUGCUGAGCUUGAGUACGAAAGAGGAUCGCGGAAUUCCCGGUGUAGAGGUGAAAUUCGUAGAUAUCGGGAGGAACACCAGCGGCGAAGGCGGCGACCUGGUGCGAUACUGACACUGAGGUGCGAAAGCGUGGGGAGCAAACAGG